GGGGAGCCCCCUUUGUCCAUCUCUCCUCUUACUUGGGACGCUCCCGACACCAUCCCGGCUCUCGGUGGCUGCGCAGGAUGCGCCGUGCCCCCCCCAGCGGACAGGAAAAAGCAUUACACUCCUCCCAUCUCUGCCAAAAGCUGUGGUGGUUGAGCAGCCAAAGCCAGGAGGCUUCAGCACCAGGGCUCUGCGCUGGAGGGCUCCUGGUCCUGCCCAUGCCGUGCGGUCAGCAGGAACAAGAGGAAAUGGGGUGCCAGAGCCGUGUGCCAUCAGGCCGUGUUUCCCUCUGAGGACAGAGAGUCCGGGCUGAG